rnacentral:rRNA from 1 species
AUGCCCUCGGUCGGCGACGCCUCCAGCCGCGACGCCCUCCGCCUACGCGGGCUCCUCGACGACUCAGCGGACAGCCCUGGUCUGACGAUCCCCUCGACCGGCACCCCCUUGGUGGAUCUUCCGGACGCACCGGAAUACCACGUCGUCGUCGGCUUAGGUACUCCGGCGCAGAACCUCACCGUCGGAUUCGACACGGCCACCAUCGGAGCCACGCUUCUGCAGUGCAAGCCAUGCGCCGCCGGGGACCCAUGCGACAAGGUCUUCGACCCCUCCCACUCAUCAUCUCUUUACGACAUUCCAUGCGGCAGGACAUGGGAAGGCUAG